GGCUCAAUGGUCUAGUGGUAUGAUUCCUGCUUCGGGCGCUACUCGAAGUUUAACCCUUCCAUCACACAUGGGAAUGCAGGAGGCCCCGGGUUCGAAUCCCGGUUGAGCCC